GAUGAACGCUGGCGGCGUGCCUAAUACAUGCAAGUCGAGCGAACGGACGAGAAGCUUUCUUCUCUGAUGUUAGCGGCGGACGGGUGAGUAACACGUGGAUAACCUACCUAUAAGACUGGGAUAACUUCGGGAAACCGGUGCUAAUACCGGAUGAUAUUUUGAACCGCAUGGUUCAAAAGUUAAAGACGGUCUUGCUGUCACUUAGAGAUGGAUCCGCGCUGCAUUAGCUAGUUGGUAAGGUAACGGCUUACCAAGGCAACGAUGCAUAGCCGACCUGAGAGGGUGAUCGGCCACACUGGAACUGAGACACGGUCCAGACUCCUACGGGAGGCAGCAGUAGGGAAUCUUCCGCAAUGGGCGAAAGCCUGACGGAGCAACGCCGCGUGAGUGAUGAAGGUCUUCGGAUCGUAAAACUCUGUUAUUAGGGAAGAAGAUAUGUGUAAGUAACUGUGCACAUCUUGACGGUACCUAAUCAGAAAGCCACGGCUAACUACGUG
rnacentral:rRNA from 1 species